GAUGAACGCUAGCGGCAGGCCUAAUACAUGCAAGUCGAGGGGUAGAAGAGGCUUGCUUCUUUGAGACCGGCGCACGGGUGCGUAACGCGUAUGCAACCUACCUUCAUCUGGGGGAUAGCCCGGAGAAAUCCGGAUUAAUACCGCAUAAAAUCACAGGAUGGCAUUAUCCAAUGAUCAAACAUUUAUGGGAUGGAGAUGGGCAUGUGUGUCAUUAGCUAGUUGGCGGGGUAACGGCCCACCAAGGCGACGAUGACUAGGGGAUCUGAGAGGAUGGCCCCCCACACUGGUACUGAGACACGGACCAGACUCCUACGGGAGGCAGCAGUAAGGAAUAUUGGUCAAUGGAGGCAACUCUGAACCAGCCAUGCCGCGUGCAGGAAGACUGCCCUAUGGGUUGUAAACUGCUUUUAUUCGGGAAUAAACCUUAUUACGUGUAAUAAGCUGAAUGUACCGAAGGAAUAAGGAUCGGCUAACUCCGUGCCAGCAGCCGCAGUAA
rnacentral:rRNA from 1 species